UGCUUACUGAGGCUGAUUUAAUUGCAUUUAUUUGUUUACUGUAUUUCUUCAGGGCCAGUUGAGGGGAAGUGGUCCAUAAAAUGUUUGGAGGAGAAAACAGCCUUGACCCAUAAACUGUCCACUGUAGUGACCAUUAUCCCCGAAAGGUUUCAUCUAAUUUUUGUUCACUUUAUGCCCAUUUGGAAUUUCAAAUGCACAGUAACAGCCCUUUGAGGCUAAAUGAUUUCUCAUUUUUAUUUUCUAAUCUUGGGGAGAGAGGUUGGAUUUUGUCUCAAAUACUGGGAGGGGAGCUCAUAAAAAUCCGGAAUAUCAUGUUAUCAGGUUACAGGGUGCAUGAAAGGGUUAAAAGGGGAAAAUGUAAUCAUUUCUUUGAUACUUCUGUCGAUGUGGGUGUUUCGUGGCUCCAAAUCAGAAAAAAAAAAAAUUGUCGCGGUCAUAUGAGGUACGAUUCGCUUUAAACUGAUUGUGUUGCAGUUUAUCAAGGAUGCACAACAAGUAAUCAAUCCACUUCCUGACUCCCUGAAAGAGGAGGUCUAUCAGCAUCACAUCUCCGUGUUCAUCAUUGACAGGUGAUGAACCUCCUAACAUUGAGACUGCCGAGUGGGAACUCGUUGGUUGAUUAUAUACAGUGUGAGCAGACGCGCUUCCAGGGAGUCGAGACACAGAGCAAACUCGAAAGGAGCCGAUAUGAAAAAAGGUGGAGGCAGACGGAGACGUUUGAUGAGCUGUUUGAAGGUCUUCACCGCCCACCCCCCCAAUCCCCAAACAUAUAUAAUUUGUUGUUGCUGUGGUGGAAUGAGACAUGUCCAGCAGCAAG